rnacentral:rRNA from 1 species
UACGGAGGGUGCGAGCGUUGUCCGGAAUCACUGGGCGUAAAGGGCGCGUAGGCGGCCGUGUAAGUCACUUGUGAAAUCCCGGGGCUCAACUCCGGGGCUGCAGGUGAGACUGCAUGGCUAGAGCUUGGUAGAGGCGAGUGGAAUUCCCGGUGUAGCGGUGGAAUGCGUAGAUAUCGGGAAGAACACCGGUGGCGAAGGCGGCUCGCUGGGCCAAUGCUGACGCUGAGGUGCGAAAGCGUGGGGAGCAAACAGG